AUUGAACGCUGGCGGCAUGCUUUACACAUGCCAGUCGAACGGUAACAGGCCGCAAGGUGCUGACGAGUGGCGAACGGGUGAGUAAUGCAUCGGAACGUGCCCAGUCGUGGGGGAUAACUACUCGAAAGAGUAGCUAAUACCGCAUACGAUCUAUGGAUGAAAGCGGGGGAUCGUAAGGCCUCGCGCGAUUGGAGCGGCCGAUGUCAGAUUAGGUAGUUGGUGGGGUAAAGGCUCACCAAGCCAACGAUCUGUAGCUGGUCUGAGAGGACGACCAGCCACACUGGGACUGAGACACGGCCCAGACUCCUACGGGAGGCAGCAGUGGGGAAUUUUGGACAAUGGGCGCAAGCCUGAUCCAGCAAUGCCGCGUGCAGGAAGAAGGCCUUCGGGUUGUAAACUGCUUUUGUACGGAACGAAACGGCUCUGGUUAAUACCCGGGGCUAAUGACGGUACCGUAAGAAUAAGCACCGGCUAACUACGUG
rnacentral:rRNA from 1 species